rnacentral:lncRNA from 1 species
AGCUCAGGAUCGGCUCCUAAGCACGUUGAAACAGCGUCUCUCUUACAAACGUCGUUUUCUCGCCGGAUUUCGUCUAACAGACACGCAAUUUCCGGAGGCGCCCCUACCUGAAAAGGCAUCCAAUAAAACCGAAAGCUUAAAAAGCGAAGUACAAAUGAACACAAAAGCGACUAGAAUUUUCCUCCGAGAAAUUACAGGAAAGUUAGAUCAGUAAAUACAAAGGACUUUCGCGGCACGUUGCCAGGGAAAUAUAGCGAAAUUGACAGGAAAAUAAUGACAAUUUUGAAAGGUUUUCAAAGCAAACGAAAAACGCAAUUCAUUAUACACUUUUCUUUUCCAAGAAAACAGAAAAAGGCUUAGAUCUCCAAAGUUAAAACGAAAGUCAAAAACAAUAAAUCCGCCAUAGAAGCCAUAAACGCAACGUACGACGGCCAAAUCGGAGUUAUUUGGAUAAUGUAAAGCUCAUUAACUUGAAAUCGGAUGACUAAGAGAAAAGCGCCAUCACUGUACAUAAUUCAAUGCUCUAAACAAACUUGGUUUCUCUAUAGGCGACUGGAACCACAACCAAAACUUCGAAAACUUGAAUUCGAGUUUGAAAAACUAAAAACACUUGAAACAACUCAUGAAGACGCCCCAUCUUAAGCCUCAUCCUCGGAUUCAUCACCAUGAAAAAGAAGUUUCACCUUCUGACAAUCGAUGUAAGCUUCGAGCAAUCUCGGGUAGCAAGGAUGGGAAGCGAUUUUGGCUUUGAUCACAGAAGACACAUCUUCUUCUCGUUGAAUUUCGGGCGUGAUCGAAGCAGUCUCUGAUAUAGCAGAAGCCACCGAAAUUAGCUCGUUCGAUCCAAACACGGGAAUCCGAUAGUCACGAAAGGCGGCUGCGGAGGAGAAGAAGCUCUGGUAAUCCGCCGGCAGUAUCAGAUUCUCCGGCGACAUCAGCACCUUGUCGGAGUAGUCGGACGUCGAAUUGAGACCGUACACUUCCUCCAUGAUUCUCUUCUAGAAGAACGAUGAGAAUUGCAGAAGAUUAAAAGGCCAAUAUCACAUGAACUGUGGAGUAGUAGAGAACCUUUGUAUUAUAGUUGUUUAUAUUUAUAAUUUUAUAUACAUAUAUAUUUCUUUAAAAUAAAUUUAAUUCCCACCCCCAUAAAAAAAUAAAAUAAAAUAUAACAUAAAGUUAACUGGAAGCUCGCAUUUGCUGUAAUGCAGAAAUGAAGUGCGAGUGUGAUUUUCACACGCGGGUGCCGAGAGGCAGAGCUCUGAGAGCCCCUCAAAGCUAAUCCGGUAAUCCCUUUUCCUAUUUCUUUAUAUAAUAGUUUUUAUACACAUCACUUCCCCCGUAAUUCUUUUAUUUUUUAUUUUUUAUUUUUUAUUUUUGUAAAUUAUUAAAUAAAAUAAAAUCCCCUUCAAAUGUCUACGCAAAGUCAUCGCACAAGCAUUACUUUCUAUGGCAAAAAUGCGCUGUCUCCACUCUUUUAUAAUAUUAAAAUGUAAAGAGCAUGAGGGCAUGUUUGGAUGUUUUGGGAAUAUCGAAUGACUUGAAUUGUUUUUACCUUCAAGCUUCAUCACAUACCAUCCACAAAUUCUCAAUAUUCUUUCCAAUCUACUCACAAAGUUUAGCCAAAAAUGAAACAAUUGAGAGAUGAAUAGAGGAAUCAGCAAUAAAAUGAUAACGCUGCACCAUACAAUUGACUUGAAACAUGAACCUAAAAAGAAAUGUCAUUCGCAAUAAAGUCAAAUGUAGGUGAUGGAUGAUUAAGGUUGAAAGGGCAUGCAAAGCAUAAAAGGGGGCAUUCAAAAAUUUCAUCUGAAGUCCAAUGUCCGAAUGUGCCCUAAUCAUAACCCUCCCUGUCAAUUAGCAGCAUCUUUGUUGUGUUUCACGGGUAUGGCUUGUCCUAUUUUUUGCCAGCAGAUGCGUUCCAUGCCAUCUCCAUCUUCUGUGCCUUUGCUUAUAUUUAAAUUUCAUUUUUAUAGGAUUUUUAAUUUAAAAUAUUUUAAAUUUUACGCAAACAUAACCCUUAAAUAUAAUCAUUUUAAAACUAUGAAAAUGGAAAAAUCAUUGAAGAAUAAUAGACAAAUAAAGAUUCAUAUGUUAUAACUAAAUAUUAAAAAACAAUAAAAUGGAAAAAGAGAAUAAUAAUAAUAAAAAACAUACGCAAAUGAGAUAAUAUAAGAAAGUUGGUUUAUCAAACAUGUGCAAACCAAUAUGAACUAAUACACGAGAAUUUAGAAAGUAUUGACCACGUCUUAUACAACUCUAAACUAGGAACCUUUCAAAGUUUGAAAUUUUGAAUUACAACUCAAAUAGUAACAUCAACAAUUCAAUAUAAUGAUUGAUCGUUGAACUAAAAAUUGGGAAUAUUUUAAAUGUUUCACAUUGGGACAAUAUUCCGCGCGAGACUUUAGACUUUAAAGGUAGAGUCCGAAGUCAUAAAUGCAACAUAGAACAAAUUUUCAAUAAAAAAAAUUCAGAAAAAGACUUUUAACUACUUCGUUUGUAGGAUCAAGGAAAAAUAAACUAACGCCUCCAUAAGAAAUUCUAUUCUCACUUCAUAGAUGAACAAUUUCUUCGAUUUCUUAACCAACCAUAUAAGGCAAAGGAUUGGAUCGGAUGAUUUUUUAACUUCUAAUAGAAUUUGAUUCUUAAAAUUUGGACGUAAAAGUUGUGAAUAUGUGUAGUUGAUGAAGUUUUUUGUUUUCAACUAAGUUUUAAAAAGACUACAAAAUCUAGGAUUGGCAAUUCACUCAUAUUUUGCAUAAUGAAACAUUACUCCCUGCUACCCCACCCUCCAUAUUUUUCAAACUUCCAUCUAUUCAAUCCACCACUGAUGAUAAGAAUCAAAGAUAUUCCGAAUAUUAUAUCACUAGGAUUGCUAUUGGAAUUGAAUUUUUUAUAUCAUACAUCAUACAUACCAUCAUAUGCAUGUACAAAUAUUAUAUUCCUUCGAUGUAUAAAAUUUUGAUAAUUUAAGCAACAAAAACCUAACCAUGUAUCUAAGAAAAAAAAAGGAACAAAAAAAAUAAAUUAUAUUAUAAUCCUGUAUAAGAAUUCAUCUGAUAAUGAUUUUAGGAAACACUUUAAUUUUUCUAACUAUUCAAAAAAUUUAUCAUUCAAGUGUUAAAAAAAUUAAAUAUAUUAGGAACAUCGUUUAAAAUUAAUGUCAAACACGUUCUCAAUAUUUUAUAUUCUAUUAUACCACAACAACUUAAAUCAUCUUAUUUGAAAUAUAACUGAAAUUUAUCACUUAAUAUUGAUUCCCAUUAUUUUUCCUAAUCAUAAAUAGCUCAUUUUCAAUGGAAGAUCGUCAUAUUAACAUGUCAAUGUGUUUUAAUGACUAAUUUUUAGGAAAAACCGAAUUGUAUAAACAAAAACGAAAUAAAACGUAGAAAAUCAUAUAAAUACAAAAUUAAAAUAAAGUGGUGGGCAAGCCCAAAGAGAGGUGAGGAAGAAAGGUGACCAAAAUAAAGGUUGCCAACAGAGGAAUUUCUUAAGUUAAUAAUACAUUAGAAGAUUCCAAGGAUGAAUAAGGUUUGUGAAUUACCAUGCCAUCUACUGUGGCCCACAGGAAUCUGGUUGUUCCAUACACCCGAUUCAUUCAUUAAUAUUCAUCUCCCACUCCACAAUUAUUCUAUAUACUUCAUAAAAGAUUUUUUUUUUUUUUUUUUUUUUUAAUUUCUCACUUUUUGCUUUCCUUGACAAGGAGAACCCCAAGGUUUCUUCCUCACGCUUCAUCUUACAAUUUUGUAAGUCAUGUCAUGAAAAAGUGAUAAAGAAUUUAAGUAAUUAACUAAAGUUAAUUAGAUAUCUUUAUAUAUCUUGCUUUCUAAAUAUAUGUGAUAACGACUUAAAGUUAUAAUAAUUUAAUUUAAAUUGAAUAAAAUUUAUAUUUUAUACACACAUGCAAAAAGCUAAAAAAGAACAGAUUCAUCCUCUCAUCUAAUUUUUAUACACAUUUAGGGUGAUUUUAUUUAAACCCUAUUUGCAUUUGGUCCUUACUAAUUUUCUAUGCUUUUUCAAAAAAAUUUCAAACCAAUUUCUCUUUUUUUUCCUCUCUUCUAUAUAAAAGUUAAAUUAUUUUAAAAUAAGAAAUUUUAAUUAUAUUUUUAUAAUAAAUUAAAUAUGAAAAAUUAUCUUUCUUAAUACUUUUUUUUAAAAUAUUAUUAUUUAAUGAGCUUAUUAUUUAUCAAUAAAAAUAAUAAAUGUGUUCAAAGAAUAAUACAUACACCCCUAAAAUAUUCUAAAAAAAAUUAAUUAUUAAUUAUAAAAGAUAAAAAGAAUUCCAAAAAUUUCAUAAUUCAAAGAAAUAGUUGAAUGGUUACCAAAAAUGUUGGAAUUGGAUAAAAUUGAAUUGUAAAAUGUAACUCAAUAUUAUAUUAUAUAUUUUUAUUUUAUUUUUACAUAUUUCACCGGUUAAUCUUUUCUUGGACCUUGAGGUAUGUUUGGUUUUGGAAUUUUUUUUUUUUUAGAAAAAAAGAGAAUAAGGAGAAGGAAAAAAAAAAAUAUAUAUAUAUAUAUAUAUAUAUUUAAGAUUAAUAAAUUAUUUUAUUUGUUACUUUAAAUUUAUUUAAUAUAUUUUUUAUUUUUAUAUAAAUAUUAAAUAAUUUAAAAAUAUAUAAAUUUAUAAUUAAUAUAAAUUAUAUUUGAUUUUGUUUUAUAUUUUUUUAUGUUAAAAUUAAAUGUAAAAAAAAUUAUUUUUUUUAACACUUCUUUUCCUUUUUGUUAUGGGAUAAAUAUAGCCCAAAAGUUACUAUAUGUAUUUUUUUUUCCUUCUAUAAUAUAAUUUAUCAAACAUCUUCUUAUCUCUUAUUUUUAGAAAUACAAAAUUCAUAUUCAUUAUUUAUAAAAAUAAAAUAUUUAAAUUUUUAUAUUUUAAAAAUGAAAAAAAAAACACACAACACACAAUUAUCCCUGGGCCUAAAAUAUUUUAUUUAAUCCACGACCAAUUUUGAUAAAAGAUUAAUUUUAAUAAAAAUAAAGCAUAAAUUCUGACUAGCUUUAAUUUAUAUUAUUUACUGUAUUUCUAUUUCAGAAAAUAAUGAUGCCACAUUUUCCCUUAACAGACUAUUUGCAAAAAUGCUAAUAUAAAAGUUAGUAUUAUUUAAAUAAAAAUAAUAAUUUUUAAAUUCGAUUAAGAAUUUUAUUAUUUAAUUUCUUUUUAAGAAUAAUUUUUAAGGGGAUAAGGUAAAAUCUAUAUAUUUUUUAAUAAGAACGGGUAUUUUUAUAUAAAAAUUUUAAUUUUAAAUAAAAAAUAUAUUCAAAGUUCAAACUUAGAUUGGUCUAGGCAGGUGAUGGCUAAGAAUGGAGCAAGUAUGCUUUUCAAAAUUUAGGGCCCCCAUGUACAAAUAAAAACAAAAGGAAGUCAAGUAUUCACGGGUUUCGACUCUUUAGGCUUUCCAUCUUUCUCUCUCUCUCGGUGGAAGCAAGCAAAGCAAGCUAAGCUUAGGGGUCAUUACAGUUUUGAUGACUGAUUGAUUGAUUUGAUGACUUUGAUGGGAUCAGUGAAAACUGCAAAAGGAAGCCUCAUGCCAGUCACCCAAACCCCCUCCGUCCCCCACUCCCGCUCCCCCCAUUGCUCUCGAAGUUCACAAAAGCACGUAUUUUGAGGCUCUAAUCCUAUGCAUUCUUUACAGGCGGUUUGUGCAUGCCCAAACACGCCUUAAGCCAAGCAAAACAAGCAGUCUUAAACACAGGGAAAGGAAAAGGGGGGUGGUACCUGGAGAGUGGAGAGUGGAGAGUGGAGAGUGACAGUUUUUGGUAGAAAGUUGAGAUAUGAAAGGCAGAUCAGCGGCUGGAUCCAUGCCUUGAUACUGGAUGAGCAGAGCGAGUAGAGGCUGAGCCGCUGCUGUACUCUUCCAUCGCUACUCAUCAGCCAUCAACCCCCCAAUCCCAUACUUCUUUUCUUUUGUAUUUGGAAGUGUUAAAAGAGCUGGAAGCGAGCCAGUGAGAUGUGAGAGAAGGGAGAAUUCCGUUUACUUCUCCAGGGACUCCAUCCUUUUAUAUACACAUUGUUUGGCAACGCUGCCUCCCC